GGGUCGGACUCGGGCCGGAAGUAGGCGGCUCCGCGGGGUGGGCUCGCUGCCAUGGGAAACUCCUGAAGAAAGGAGAAGGAGCGGAGAAGGAAUAGAAAGGAUGCAGGAAGCAUCACAGGCUACCUCCUGGGCUGCAGCCCUGACUGCCUCCCUGCCUGAGAUGCAUCCCUUGCUGGGGCGCUGAAAUCUAUAUCUGCCCCAUUCAAUCCACCUGUUCCUACAAUUACCAGGAGGAUUCUAGAGAGGAGAUGGAGGGAGUUGUCUAAUGGAGUGAGUGGUUAGCCUCUCCAGUGCACACACAAUACCUGUUGGAUGGAGGUGACCUUGUGGUCUGCAUCUCACCCUGGAAGCCCAUCCCAUCCUGGCCGCAGUGAGGGAGCCCCAACACAGACCUGGGCCGGCCCUACUUGCAUCGGUUUCCUCUGAGUCUCCUAUGUUCCUGUGUCUCUGGUUCUUUCAUUGCCUCCACGAAAUAAAGCGGCCAUAGAUCUUUAUUCUCCACCAUUCUUCAAAGGUAGCAGCCACAGAUCCUGCCUGUCCUCUGCCCCCAACAAACAUGGUAGGUUGUGUGUGUGUGUGGGGGGGGGCGGAGGUGUCCCUGUCUAUCCUAUGCCCCAAAAAACAUGGCCCAAGGUACCUUCUGCCGGAAGUCUGGCGCAACAGUUGCUGGGUCAGCUUUCAAGUUUGUGGUUUUGGUGAGAGCCAAAAAAGUUGAACUAACACUAAUAAAGAUCAUCACAGGUUUUAACCAAGUCACUGUGAUCAGAUAGACUGUUCCAGCCUCCUCAGAUGCGCAUUGUGAUCUCCAAAUUACAUCUACAGGCGACGAAACUCCACAAUGUUGAUUCCAACUGCUUUUAGUCUUUUUUUUAUAUAUAUA